CUCCCCUCUCUUCAUGAUUCAUUCUUGUGUGUGUGUGCACGUGUGCAUACACAUGCAUGCACACUCACACCUCGCCCUACUAUUUUCAUUCCUCCAACACCCCCAGGUCCUCCUUGUCUUCCCUCGUGCUGUUCCCUUUAGCUGGAGUGCCCUUCUCCUACUCUUGAUCUGAUGGGUACAGCUUUCGGGCCUUGGUUCAAAUUUAAUGGCCUUUCCUGACCCUCUCAUAUAAUUUAGCUGUGCCUUGCUGUACCUUCUCAGGGCCUCCAGUUCUACUUUCCUUUGUAAUU
rnacentral:lncRNA from 1 species